AAAUAUUAAACCUAAAGGUGUGAUUCCAUUUCAUCUCACAGAACCUGAACAAGGGAUUUUUGGGAUGUCAUACCUGUCUUGGAAUUAUGACAUAAUAACGCUAAGGCAGAAAGUGAGUUUGGAGCACAGAUGCCAGCAGGGAUGCUGCAUCAUAUCUGAGGACCUUUUUCCAAUGUUUGUACUUCAGAUGCUGUUGAUCCUAGUCCUGCAGCAGAAGACAGAUGGAUUGAUUCAUUUGGCUUGUCCACUGUUGAUUUUAGCUAGAAAAAUUGGGAAGCGCCAUCCACGAACUGCCGUAGUCGUCGUCCCUCAUGUUCAGCUGUCUUUCACUUUUAAACUUCGUAAGUUCUCCUUCCACGCUAUCCCUCUGCUGUACUCAUGGAAGGCUGAUACUGGCAGACCAUGGAAGUUUCAGCCGCUAUGAACAACUGCAGUCUGUGUAGGCGAGGAUGUAUCUUGGAGUUCUGAAGAAACAACCUCAUGAUGCUUGAAUAUGGAAUUUAGAAAUUCUCAGAGAAGGAUGGUUUUGUCUCCAAAUGUGUAUUUGCCAGCCUUGGUUUCCUCAGCUGGGAGAUUAACAGCAGCAAGACAAAAUACAUAUGUUCACUCAGGCUUUUUUAAUAGAUCUGGAGUGGGGAGCAAGGCUGUUUUCCUAUCUGCUGAGCUUUUUCCUGCUGUCUCGUUCUGGUUAAUUGGUUAACUCUUGUUUCUUUGAAAGUACUUUGACUCACCAUAUGAACGUUGUAAGUAUAAUAGAAUCAGGCUGUUUAAGAGUGUGUCUGGAAAUGGUGAUAAACAGUCCGUACUCUGCUCUGUAGUUCAUUACAUCUAUGGGUUGUAGUGAGUUCCCAUCCACUCCUGGGUGAGCUGAGCAUGGAAGUGCUGGUUAUUCAUUGCUUCCUUGAGAUAUUCACUAUGUUUAUUAAAUAAAAAGCAUUAUACAGUGUACA
rnacentral:lncRNA from 1 species